rnacentral:rRNA from 1 species
UACGUAGGGCGCGAGCGUUGUCCGGAAUUAUUGGGCGUAAAGAGCUCGUAGGCGGCCUGUCGCGUCGGUUGUGAAAGCCCGGGGCUCAACCCCGGGUCUGCAGUCGAUACGGGCAGGCUAGAGUUCGGUAGGGGAGAUCGGAAUUCCUGGUGUAGCGGUGAAAUGCGCAGAUAUCAGGAGGAACACCGGUGGCGAAGGCGGAUCUCUGGGCCGAUACUGACGCUGAGGAGCGAAAGCGUGGGGAGCGAACAGG